rnacentral:tmRNA from 1 species
GGGGAUGACUUUGGUUUUGACAGAGAGAUUCUGAAAUGAAAAACCGCAAUCCAGGUAUCGUGCUGUCUGCCUGCUAAUUAGUCCAGCGCAACUAUAAGUGCAACAACUUAUAAAUCUCUUGGUGCUCGUUAUGCCCGUGCUAAAGCGGCUUUUAUGCCUUCUUUUGUACCCGCAUUUGCGUAAACCAGGCACGACUGCCAAUUCGCAGUCUCGUUUUAUCGGGCGACACCUGCUGACCCGGUGAGGCGUUAUUUUGCAGGUUAAGCGCGUGCUCCUCCACCUGUGGAGUACGUGACGAAAAUAAAUCGGGUUAAGCGAUGACGUUCUUUGUUUGUUUUUAAUGCCGUCGACGAAAAAUUGAAAUAAACUAUGAUUGUAGAAGUUGACAUUUCACUCUUUGGACGCGGGUUCGAAUCCCGCCAUCUCCACCA